UACGAAGGGGGCUAGCGUUGCUCGGAAUCACUGGGCGUAAAGCGCACGUAGGCGGAUUGUUAAGUCAGGGGUGAAAUCCUGGAGCUCAACUCCAGAACUGCCUUUGAUACUGGCAAUCUCGAGUUCGGGAGAGGUGAGUGGAACUGCGAGUGUAGAGGUGAAAUUCGUAGAUAUUCGCAAGAACACCAGUGGCGAAGGCGGCUCACUGGCCCGAUACUGACGCUGAGGUGCGAAAGCGUGGGGAGCAACAGGG
rnacentral:rRNA from 1 species